GACGAACGCUGGCGGCGUGCUUAACACAUGCAAGUCGAACGGAAAGGCCUGUCCUUCCUUGUGUUGGACGGGUACUCGAGUGGCGAACGGGUGAGUAACACGUGAGUGAUCUGCCCCCAACUUGGGUAUAAGCCUGGGAAACUGGGUCUAAUUCCCGAUAGGACUGCAGGGUGGUGCCUGUGGUGGAAAACGAUUUUCUAGUGGUUGGGGAUGAGCUCGCGGCCUAUCAGCUUGUUGGUGGGGUAAUGGCCUACCAAGGCGGCGACGGGUAGCCGGCCUGAGAGGGGGGACGGCCACAUUGGGACUGAGAUACGGCCCAGACUGCUACGGGAGGCAGCAGUGGGGAAUAUUGCACAGUGGGCGGAAGCCUGAUGCAGCGACGCCGCGUGGGGGAUGACGGCCUUCGGGUUGUAAACUCCUUUCGACCGAGAAGAAGCCGCCUGGUUGGAAGGGUGGUGACGGUAGUGGUAGAAGAAGCACUGGCUAACUACGUG
rnacentral:rRNA from 1 species